rnacentral:rRNA from 1 species
AUUGAACGCUGGCGGCAGGCCUAACACAUGCACGUCGAACGGGUGGCGGACGGGUGAGUCAUGUCUGGGAAACUGCCUGAUGGAGGGGGAUAACUACUGGAAACGGUAGCUAAUACCGCAUACCAGCAGAUGUGCCCAGAGUGGAUUAGCUUGUUGGUGGGGUAAAGGCACACCAAGGCGACGUUCCCUAGCUGUUCUGAGAGGAUUACCAGCCACACGGGAAGUGAGACACGUUCCAGACUCCUACGGGAGGAAGCAGUGGGGAAUAUUGCACAAUGGGCUCAAUCCUGAUGCAGCCAUGCCGCGUGUAUGAAGAAGGCCUUCGGGUUGUAAAGUACUUUCAGCGUGGAGGCGUUACCCGCAGAAUAAGCACCGGCUAACUCCGUGCCAGCGGCCGCGGUAAUAC